AUUGAACGCUGGCAGCAGGCCUAACACAUGCAAGUCGAACGAGUGGCGAACGGGUGAGGAAUGUCUGGGAAACUGCCGGAUGGAGGGGGAUAACUACUGGAAACGGUAGCUAAUACCGCAUACCAUCGGAUGUGCCCAGAUGGGAUUAGCUAGGCGGUGGGGUAACGGCUUACCUAGGCGACGAUCCCUAGCUGGUCUGAGAGGAGGACCAGCAACACUGGAACUGAGACACGGUCCAGACUCCUACGGGAGGCAGCAGUGGGGAAUAGUGCACAAUGGGCGCAAGCCUGAUGCAGCCAUGCCGCGUGUAUGAUGAAGGCCUUCGGGUUGUAAAGUACUUUCAGCGGGGAGUCGUUACCCGCAGAAGAAGCACCGGCUAACUCCGUGCCAGCCGCCGCGGUAAUAC
rnacentral:rRNA from 1 species